rnacentral:tRNA from 1 species
GCGCUGGUGCUGGAACUGGCAGACAGGUAUGGUUGAGGGCCAUAUGCCCCUAGGGCGUGCGGGUUCGAUUCCCGCCCAGCGCACAA